AGGGUGGUUUUGAAAAAUCAAGAAUCAACUUUACUAGGUUAACUUAAGUUUUUUAGAGUUUUUAGGACAGGAUUCAUAACCCUGAGGUCGGGAGUUCAAAUCUCCCUCACGCUA
rnacentral:tRNA from 1 species